rnacentral:rRNA from 1 species
GAGUAAUACAUAAGUAACCUGCCCCUGUGCGGGGGAUAACAGGAGGAAACUCCUGCUAAUACCGCAUAGCCAUGAGCACCGCAUGGAGCUCAUGCCAAAUAUCCUUUCGGGGAUAGCGCAGGGAUGGACCUAUGGCGCAUUAGCUUGUUGGCGGGGCAACGGCCCACCAAGGCAACGAUGCGUAGCCGGCCUGAGAGGGCGGACGGCCACAUUGGGACUGAGACACGGCCCAGACUCCUACGGGAGGCAGCAGUAGGGAAUUUUCGGCAAUGGGGGAAACCCUGACCGAGCAACGCCGCGUGAGCGAAGAAGGCCUUCGGGUCGUAAAGCUCUGUUGUAAAGGAAGAACGGCGCAUACAGGAAAUGGUAUGCGAGUGACGGUACUUUACCAGAAAGCCACGGCUAACUACGUGCCAGCAGCCGCGGUAAUACGUAGGUGGCGAGCGUUAUCCGGAAUCAUUGGGCGUAAAGAGGGAGCAGGCGGCCGCAAGGGUCUGUGGUGAAAGACCGAAGCUAAACUUCGGUAAGCCAUGGAAACCGGGCGGCUAGAGUGCGGAAGAGGAUCGUGGAAUUCCAUGUGUAGCGGUGAAAUGCGUAGAUAUAUGGAGGAACACCAGUAGCGAAGGCGACGGUCUGGGCCGCAACUGACGCUCAUUCCCGAAAGCGUGGGGAGCAAAUAGGAUUAGAUACCCUAGUAGUCCACGCCGUAAACGAUGGUCACUAAGUGUCGGGGGUCAAACCCCGGUGCUGCAG